rnacentral:rRNA from 1 species
UACGUAGGGGGCGAGCGUUGUCCGGAUUUAUUGGGCGUAAAGAGCUCGUAGGCGGUUUGGUAAGUUGGAUGUGAAAUCUCCAGGCUCAACUUGGAGGGGUCAUUCGAUACUGCCAUGACUAGAGUUCGGUAGGGGAGUGUGGAAUUCCUGGUGGAGCGGUGAAAUGCGCAGAUAUCAGGAGGAACACCCGUAGCGAAGGCGGUUCUCUGGGACGGUACUGACGCUGAGACGCGAAAGCGUGGGGAGCGAACAGG